rnacentral:lncRNA from 1 species
UUAUUUGCUGUAGGGGGAAUAACUUAGUAAGUAUAGCAAGAAGAGAUGGGGGAAGGGAAGAGAAGAAGAAGAAGAACAAAGGUGGGGAAGAAGACAGGAAAACGGCUGCAAGCCAACUUCAUAAUUUAAUAAAAUUCAUCAACUGAAAAUAACAAUGUAAAAUAGGUUUAAAUACUGGAAAAUACUGCAAACCUAGGGCCAAGCCCAAUACACAAGUCCAUAAAAUUAAAAUAACCUAAAUCCAACUAAAAUAAUUAAAACUGCUAAAAUAAUUAAAACUGGAUGUCCUCAUCAAUUCUCCCGAGGUGGGAGAAAAAUUCGACCCUGUCGAGUGGCUAUAUCACCAUAGGCAUCCGUCAAUCUCCCAACCAUAGGCUGAGUGGCCGGGCAAGCUUCUUUCGACGUCUGUAGAAAUGCGUCAGUGGCGGUCUGAACCUGGUGUCCUCACCAACUCCUCUCGGGUGGACGGGAGGCGAUCUGGACCAAUGAAGAUCCUGCUGACUCCGAUAAAACUCUAACAAAUCUGGGUCCAAUUGCUGUAGUGUCUCCUUGGAGAUCCAUGCACAGUCACAAUCUGGUCGACCAACCCAACGAACAAGGAAGCGCUGAACCUCUCCAUCAGUAGUGAAUACAGUUUCUUCAUCUAAAAUAGCAUCAAUUUUUUCUUUGUGUGCUAUGAGAGGUGGUAGUGGGUUAGAAGGGGUCAAAGAAUCAGGGUCAAGGUCCACAAUAGGAGAAGACAGAGGAUCAUCUGAGAGAAUGAAAUGGCCCUUAUGAGCUACAAGGUCCUCAACAUUGAAAGUAGAGUGGUAACCAAGGUGUGGUGGAAUGUCAACAAUAUAUGCAUUUGGACCAACUUGCUUUAAAAUUUUAAAAGGACCAGCACUACGAGCUUGCAAUUUAGAGGCGAGUCCAUGUAGACGCCGCUCUGGCUUAAUGCGAACCAUAACGUAAUCCCCAAUGUUAAACUCAAUAUGUCGUUUGUGUAAAUCAGCUUGGAGUUUAUAUGUUGCAUUACUAGUUUCAAGUUGUUUAUUGAUCUCAAUAUGCAAGUCACGAAGAUAUUGUGUAAAUGCUUCGGCCGAUACUGACACUCUAGCCUGUGGGGACUUAGGGAUGAGAUCUAACGGUUUCCUAGGCUUGUACCAAUGAACGGCUUCAAAUGGACUCAUACCUAGUGAACGAUUUAUAGAGCUAUUGUACGCAAUUUGAGCUACAGGAAGGAUUAAAUCCCAAUUUCGAAGGUUUUUUCGAACCAGACAACAUAAUAGGUUACCAAAGCUUCGAUUAACUACUUCAGUUUGACCGUCAAUUUGGGAGGAUGCCCCCGGAACGAAGUCUAUGGCAUAUUGAAUAUCCCUUAGUGGAGGUAGGUGAUCAGGGAGAUCCUCUAGAAAGACGUCUCGAAACUCUUGGAGGACCGAUAGGACUUCAACAGGGCUCUCUAUUGCGGAGUGUGAUGGGACCUCCAUGACUACCAAAGCGAAGACAACUGAGUCACUAACAAGUGUACGCUCAAACUCCGUAGGACUAAUGAUAUGCAAUCCUUUUCGUUCCACACUUUUCUUCGUUUCCAGUGGGCCAACAGGCUUCGAGAGUGAGAAAAGAAGGGAAGCCUUGGAAGUGGCGGCCAACUGACUGGCGGUUGGUCGACAGCGGUGGUGGUCGCCUUGGAAGUGGCGGCCAAUUGACCGGCGGUUGGGUAGAGACUGAGAAAAGAAGGGAAGCCGGCGACUAUUUGGUCCAAAAUUUAGGGCUCGAAUCUUCUGUCGUCUUCCUGAUUGAAUCGGUCCUCUGUUGAAAUCGAGGCAGAAAAGGCGACGGGGAAAGGAACCGUAACAGGUGUGGAUGAUGGGUAUCGUAGGCAUUGGACCAAUCGUGAUGUUGGAUUACCUGUAUGGGUUAUAGGAAGCUGCUGGCAAUUAAGUAUGUAGGGGAUUGGAUGUAGAGAAGAAACUGUCAACAAUUACAAAAAUCUAGCUUGCUGGGAAUGAUUACAGAAGUUGGUGGUCGGUGUUGGGGCGGUUUUCAGAUGAUGGUGGUAACGCUGGUAGCAAGAGAAUAGCUUGUCUGGAUUUUUGGCCGUGGGUGAGGGGAGCCAGGUUUGGCUCUGAUACCAAUUUGAUGCAGGGGAAUAAUUAUUUGCUGUAGGGGGAAUAACUCAGUAAGUAUAGCAAGAAGAGAUGGGGGAAGGGAAGAGGAGAAGAAGAAGAACAAAGGUGGGGAAGAACACAGGAAAACGGCUGCAAGCCAACUUCAUAAUUUAAUAAAAUUCAUCAACUAAAAAUAACAAUGUAAAAUAGGUUUAAAUACUGGAAAAUACUGCAAACCUAGGGCCAAGCUCAAUACACAAGUCCAUAAAAUUAAAAUAACCUAAAUCCAACUAAAAUAAUUAAAACUGCUAAAAUAAUUAAAACUGGAUGUCCUCAUCAACUUCCCUCUUUAUUGGUUUGUAUUUUCAUCCAAAUGGAUCUUUAUGAUUUAGAAGAAUGAGAAGCAAAAGGGGUUUGUGAAGAUAAACAAUUUAAAACUGAAGAAAUUAAUGAAUAGGCCAAUCUGCCUAUUUAUUGAGCCCCUGUUUGACAACCAUUAAAAUGGGGAAAAGAGUUUUUGAAUAAUAAUUUUUGGAGAAUGUGUGGUUAAGAAGUAGAAAUAAGUUUUUGGUUUACGUAGAAAUAAGUUUUUGGUUUACG